rnacentral:rRNA from 1 species
CAUGCAAGUCGAACGAAGGCUUCGGCCUUAGUGGCGCACGGGUGCGUAACGCGUGGGAAUCUGCCCUUGGGUUCGGAAUAACAGUGAGAAAUUACUGCUAAUACCGGAUGAUGUCGAAAGACCAAAGAUUUAUCGCCCGAGGAUGAGCCCGCGUAGGAUUAGCUAGUUGGUGAGGUAAGAGCUCACCAAGGCGACGAUCCUUAGCUGGUCUGAGAGGAUGAUCAGCCACACUGGGACUGAGACACGGCCCAGACUCCUACGGGAGGCAGCAGUGGGGAAUAUUGGACAAUGGGCGAAAGCCUGAUCCAGCAAUGCCGCGUGAGUGAUGAAGGCCUUAGGGUUGUAAAGCUCUUUUACCCGGGAUGAUAAUGACAGUACCGGGAGAAUAAGCCCCGGCUAACUCCGUGCCAGCAGCCGCGGUAAUACGUAGGGGGCGAGCGUUGUCCGGAAUUAUUGGGCGUAAAGAGCUCGUAGGCGGUUUGUCGCGUCUGCCGUGAAAGUCCGGGGCUCAACUCCGGAUCUGCGGUGGGGUACGGGCAGGCUAGAGUGAUGUANGGGAGACUGGAAUUCCUGGUGUAGCGGUGAAAUGCGCAANGUCAGGAGGAUCUCGAAGGGCGAAGCANGUCUCUGGGGCAUUAACUNANGCUG